GUAAAGAAGAGGCAAUAGACGGGUCUUUGAUGGAUUUGACAUUAACGAGAAUCAAGAGCAAGAAGUUGACAGUUCUUCAACUCAAAAUUUAGUACUCAGAUUGAGGCCAUUGGAGGCCGUUUGGUUGGUGUUCUAGACGUUGCAAGGUUGGGGAACUUUCCGUUAACGAGAUACUGUUGCUUAGAACGAAGCUAGUGGCUAAGGAGUUCGCUAGAGUUGAUUCAGUUAUUGAGGUGAGCUGCUGCAUUGUUCGUGGAGGCUGCGAAAAGAGUCUUAAUUAUUUAUUCGUAUGAUGUAUUUUGUAAUUCUCUUAGAUGCUCUAUGGUCUAGUGUGGGAUUUGGGCUAGAAUUACAUUGUAAUAUUUAAGAUAUCAAUUGUUCGUAAUGGUUAUCAGAUUAUUUGGAUA